rnacentral:rRNA from 1 species
UACGGGGGAGCAAGCGUUGUUCGGAUUUACUGGGCGUAAAGGGCGCGUAGGCGGCCACCGCAAGUCGACUGUGAAAUCUCCGGGCUUAACCCGGAAAGGUCAGCCGAUACUGCGGGGCUAGAGUGCAGGAAGGGCACUGGAAUUCUCGGUGUAGCGGUGAAAUGCGUAGAUAUCGAGAGGAACACCUGCGGCGAAGGCGGGUUGCUGGGCUGACACUGACGCUGAGGCGCGAAAGCCAGGGGAGCAAACGGG